rnacentral:rRNA from 1 species
AAUCCCUUUGACUUUGGGGGUAAUUAAAUGCUUUUACUUUUUUAAUACAUGCUAGUAAAAUACAAACAGGUGAGUAAAUCUGUUAAUCUUCAGAUAGUUACCAGGAAUUAUUAAUUGAUUACAGUAUUAAUUCUCAAGACGGCAAGGAUAAUCCCACAUUUUUACUGAAACAAUGAAAAACCACUUGCAGCAGUAUAGAGUAUUGUACAAUUAACUAUUGUUAGAUACAGAAAAGUAUACAGAACUGUCAAAUCAGGUGCCAGCAGACGCGGUUACACCUGGAGUUCAAGUUUUAUAAAUAAAAAGGCUUAAAGGGUGUGUAUAUAAUUAAAAAUA